GCCGAGGGGCCCCGCGGCGCCGCCCUCACGGCUCGGCGGGGCUCGGGGGGGUUUCAGGCCGUGUGGCUUCGCCGCCCGCCGUGCCGCCCCACAGCCGCGCUCCGGUGAAUGAGAGCCCUGUAGGGCCGUGGUAAACCUGGCCCCAAAAUAACUGAGUUAAUAAAUCACCUGGUUUGCACAUUGGCCAGAAUAGAAGACUCUGAAAAUGCUGCAGCUGGUGAUUUUAAACUUCCUAUUUCCUAUCAAAGUUGCUGAGGCUGCAGAAGCAAUCUCUGCGAUGGUUACCAUCUUCAAGCCUGUCCCAGAUAUCAGUAAACAGAGCU
rnacentral:lncRNA from 1 species